AACUGCACAAUGCUGGGAACAGCGAUGCGGGAACUCCAAGUGCCGGCACAAAGUGUCGGCUGUUCCAUUGUCUAAAAAACAUAGGAAGUAAGGGCUGGGUAAGACGGGUGCCAGCCGCCGCGGUAAUACCUGCAGCCCGAGUGGUGGCCGUUAUUAUUGGGCCUAAAACGUCCGUAGCCGGUUGGGUAGAUGCCUGUGUAAAUCGAACGGCUUAACCGUUCGAAUUGCGGGUAGACCGCCCGACUAGGGACCGGGAGAGUCACGAAGUACUCCGGGGGUAGAGGUGAAAUUCUGUAAUCCUCGGGGGACUACCGGUGGCGAAGGCGUCGUGAUAGAACGGCUCCGACGGUGAGGGACGAAGCCCUGGGGCGCAAACCGGAUUAGAUACCCGGGUAGUCCAGGGUGUAAACGCUGCGGUCUUGGUGUCGGCAGUCCUACGAGGACAGCCGGUGCCGGAGAGAAGUUGUUAAGACCGCUGCCUGGGGAGUACGGCCGCAAGGUUGAAACUUAAAGGAAUUGGCGGGGGAGCACUGGU
rnacentral:rRNA from 1 species